UACGGAGGGGGCGAGCGUUAUUCGGAAUCAUUGGGCGUAAAGGGCGUGUAGGCGGCUCCGUGUGUCUCAUGUGAAAGCCCUCGGCUCAACCGAGGAAUUGCACGGGAAACUGCGGAGCUUGAGUCCGGGAGAGGAGAGCGGAAUUCCCAGUGUAGCGGUGAAAUGCGUAGAUAUUGGGAGGAACACCAGUGGCGAAAGCGGCUCUCUGGACCGGUACUGACGCUGAGACGCGAAAGCUAGGGGAGCAAACGGG
rnacentral:misc_RNA from 1 species